rnacentral:tRNA from 1 species
GGUUCUGUAGCUCAGUGGUAGAGCACUACCUUGACAUGGUAGGGGUCGUUGGUUCAAAUCCAAUCAGAGCCA